GUUAGGGAGCUACACACCAUAUGCCGGUAGAAACAAAUUGAUGCUUCAAGGUCACUGUUCUGCCAAAUCCUGCAUGGACCUUCCUAAGCUACCACCCAGUUCGUGUCUCUGCAGCACUCCUCCAACAGUAUCUUCCCUGGAUACUUUCACUAUCAAUAAGAAAACCAGUGUCCUGGAAGAGCACUGGACUCCAUGAAAAUCCCUCUCCUUGCACAGUGAUCUGGAACCUUCUGCAAGUGUGCUAUGAAGGUUUGAAUAUGCUUGACACAUAGAAAGGGCUACUAUUAUGAGAUGCAGAGACUGGGAAGUUACUGCAGGUCAUCAAAUAAUAGUAAAUGAAGAAUGAAUGAAGUCCGAUAUGUCUAGUGAAAAAAACAGAUGAACAGAAAAAUCAUGCUCAAGAUUGCCUUUGGAGCUUCCCUGUGAACUACCAGAUAAGGCUGCAGCAGUGAUUUCUCUAGUUCAGUGCUAAGCAAUCCUACUUGACAAUAAAAAGUUUAUAACCUGGAGAUGAAAAGGGAGGGGGAAAAAGCAACCAUGAAUCAAAAUGAACAAGGACUCCUAACCCCUGUCCUUGCUCUGUGGCCCACAUGCCCAGUGUAGACACUAUUACUACACAACUGGGCUUUCAAGAAUUGCCUGCCAAUAUUGACAUUACUCAAUCCUAUGGAAGGAAAUCAAGGUGGACUGGUGAACAAUCACUUUCAAAGCUAAUUAUUAAACCUGCAGGUCAGAACUCUC
rnacentral:lncRNA from 1 species